rnacentral:lncRNA from 1 species
UUUUGAGAAGCUGCACAAGCUGACAUGGAGGAUCAAGGAUUUCAAAAGCUUUGAAUAUAAAGAGGUGUCAGACUUACAUCAGAGCCUGAGACUUGACAUGCCUAUUUUUGCACUCGCUCAUUUUUCAAAUUUCAUAGGCAUUGCUCCCUCCAAAUCACCGCUCUUCUAAUUUUAUCCUGGAGUGUGCAUCCCAGAAGACAUAAGCUGACACAAUUGGGAACUGAAGUUGCUUGAAAAAGCUGGUGACUCUAGACAGCUUAUACGUAUUUGGACAAGGCAACGUGAUGAAGAAAUAAUAUAAUUGUAGGAUCACCUCUGUCCAGUAGCUGUUAUCCAACAUCUGCAUACUUAGAUUUCUGGAGAGAUAUCCAUGAAUGACCAUGAAAGUACAGCAAGUGAUUUUCAAGCUGCAAACAAAUUUUAGCAAGCAAAUGGAAGAAGAAAGAGGAGAGUGGUGGUGUGUGCUUUCCCUUUAAUGGCAGAACCCAACAGUCGUACACACCACUUCUACCCUCUUAAGAUGGGUCAGAAUCCAGGCCCAAUUCCAUGUAUACAUGGAAGAGAGGCUUAUUAAAGUAGCCUUCAGUUGCUGGACAGAGUUCCAUCCAAAACUACAGUUAAUAGACAAAUUCUCCUGUUUCCCAGGCUGGAGUGCAGUGGUGCGAUCUGGGCUCACUUCAUCCUAUGCCUCCCAGGCUCAAGCGAUCCUCCUGCCUCCACCACUGGAAUAACUGGGACUACAAACUCACACCACCAUGCCUAGUUAAUUUCUGUAUCUUUUUGAGUAGAGAUAGUGUUUUGCCAUGUUAUCCAGGGUGGCCUCCAACCCGGGAGCUCAAGCCAUCCACCCUCUUCGGCCUCCCAAAGUGCUGGGAUUGCAAGCAUGAGCCACUGCACUGGCUAAUUCUUUAUUUUAAUGUUCAUGUUUUCAUUAGGCAAUUUCAGUACACCCAAGUGUAUUUUGAGAAGUGAUUCACUUUUAAUCUCUCCUAGUUUCUUUCAAUUAUGGCCGCAAAA